GCCUGGGUGGCUCAGUCGGUUGAGCAUCUGACUGCCUCUCAGGUCAUGAUCCCGUGGGUUCAGGCCCCGCAUCGGGCU
rnacentral:tRNA from 1 species